CUUCGUUUCGGUUCGGUUUGUCUUUUGGGGUUCUUCUCGCCUUCGAAAGCGCCGUCCUUCUUCAGUGUUUUCACAUUUUCACGUACAGUUCAAUCGUGAGGUUCAGCCUAGUGAGUUCUGUGUAGUUAAGUCGGAAUAUUUCGUAUAGUUCUCGUCGACUGUCGUCUGACAUUUGUUCUUCUAUUCCGAAACGCUGCAUUGAAAUACAAAAAUAAUACAAACUAGAAUAUUCAACAAAACAAAAAACCAAGGAAACGAAAAACCAAUUAAAAUUUUAACAAAAUAAUAACUCGCUUCAAAAUAUAUUGCAAAUAUAUCAACAAAUUUAAUCAAAUCAAAUUCACCAACAAAUCGAAAACAAACUCUAUUAAUUCGUUUACUCAAAAAUCCAAAAACACAAAACAACCAAAAACCGAUUCAAAUAUAUAACUGUUAAAUCUAAACGAGCAGGCGAUCUACUGGGAAGCGAGAGAGGAAGGGCAUCAGCAGCAGCACUACUACACGCGUGUGUGUUUAAAUACUGGAAAAUACAGAUAAGAUAAAUUAUUAUAGACACUCACGAGUACAUUUAGAGCAGACCAAACCCAGAGACAGACAACCGCAGAGAAUCAAAAGCACUCCAAGAGCAAAUCAAUAAAACAAAAACAAAACCCAAACAACAACAAAAAAAACAACAACAGAAACAACAGAAACAAAGAGAAAAAGCAACUCAAAAAACAAAAUUUUAAAAAAAGUGUUACCAAAAAAAACUUAAAAAAAAAAGAAAAUUAUUUAAAAGACAAAACCCGUACUCGUAACGGUGCAGACAACUGAAAAUACCCAGUGAAAAUUCAGAAAAGCGUUGACCAUUUUUUCUCGCAAAGGCGCCACGUCCAAGAGCAAAUCGUUCCAUAUGGUUCAUAUUAUUGAAUUGGUCGGCCAGCCGAAGGUUGAGUUUGCUCAACAAGUUACUAUGAACCGUGCUUUACAGCUGAAGCCAGCUGAAAAUGAAAGUCGCAGCGGCUGCGCAUUCGUCAAAUUCGGAACGCAACAGGAGGCUCAGUCAGCAAUAGCCAAUCUACACGGAAGUCAAACUAUGCCGGGUGCAUCCUCCAGCCUGGUCGUCAAAUACGCCGACACAGAGAAGGAACGACAAAUCAGGCGCAUGCAACAAAUGGCCGGUCAUAUGAACCUGCUGAAUCCGUUUGUCUUUAAUCAGUUCAGCCCGUACGGCGCCUACGCUCAGCAACAGCAGCAAGCCGCUCUGAUGGCUGCCGCUGCCACCGCGCCUGGCUCGGCAGCCGCCUACAUGAACCCCAUGGCCGCCCUGGCAACGCAAAUACCUCAUGGCUUGAACGGCACCGGACAGCCGCCCUCUUUGCCCUCGCCGACCAUGCCCAACUUCAGCAUGGGCGCCAACACGCCCAACGGCCAGCCCGGUGGAGCUGCCGCGGCUGCAGCAGCUGCUGCGGCGGACGGGGUCUUCACGAACGGCAUUCCACAAACGGCAUUCCCAGGACAUCCGCUGCAUUUGACUAUACCACCACAAGGUCUGCCAAACGGCGAUGCUGCUACUCUGCAACAUGCCUUCCCUGGGCUGCCACCGUUUCCAGGAGUUGCCUUCCCCGCCGUCUAUGGACAGUUUCCACAAGCUUUACCACCUCCCCUAGCGGCGGUUGCACCCACUCAGCGUGAAGAUUUUCUGAUGUUCCCAGGAUGCUCGAUAUCCGGUCCAGAGGGCUGCAAUCUCUUCAUCUACCAUUUGCCCCAAGAGUUUGGCGAUGCGGAGUUAAUGCAAAUGUUCCUGCCCUUUGGCAAUGUGAUCAGCUCCAAGGUCUUCAUCGAUCGUGCUACAAACCAGAGCAAAUGCUUCGGUUUCGUGUCCUUCGAUAAUCCAGCCAGCGCUCAAGCGGCCAUUCAGGCCAUGAAUGGCUUCCAGAUUGGCAUGAAAAGACUGAAAGUUCAAUUGAAGCGGCCAAAGGAUGCCAGUCGACCCUAUUAACAAUCGGAGUUCCUUAAGUGUAAUUCGCAACAACUACAACUACUUCCUGGAGCACCAACAACAGGAGUAGUCGCAGGAGCAGCCAUGCCACAAACUACAACACAAUUUGCAACAGCAGCAGCAGCAGCAGCAACAGCAUCCACAGCAACAGCAACAGCCACAGCAACAACCACAGUGCACCACUAUAGUCACAGAAGCAGCUUUAGGCCACCAUUUCCCAAUGACAACUCCACUCAUAUGCCGGUAUCAAUUCGCCAGCUGGCGCGAAAUGGUGACCUACUGCUAUCGCUAUAUAGUACCCCGCCAGAAACACUUCCUCCCCAGCCCCAAAAAGCAACCAACAACAGCAACAUCAGCAAGGACAACAACAACAGCACCAACCAACAACAACAGCACCAACAAACACCCACCAGCAGCACCACACCAAACAACAAUAGCAAGCACUGCAGGCAGCAGAAUGGACCGAUUCCCAUCCACAUCCAACUCAACCGGACAUGGCAUCCAAUAGCAACCAGAAGGAACUAUCCAAAGUGGAAUAAGUCGAAAAACUGUUCAAGUGGCAGCAACAAAAGCGAAAGACCUAAAGCCACCAGGACCCCACAAACAGCAACCAUGACAACUGCGACAACAAUAACGAGCGACUACUGAAAGGAUGGUCUUCACCAUGCUAAGUGAAAUGAUUAUAAAAAUUAAACACAUGCAAAAUCGGUGUGUAAAAAAACCUAAAAUAAUAGUAAACAACCAAA
rnacentral:misc_RNA from 1 species